CGGAUUCUCUCGACUUGCUUCCAUCUCUCUUUGUCUCCCCUAUGUCUUUAUUUAAUCCCCAUUCCUCCUCCAGGUACACCCCACGGAUUGAUCCGCAGGCUGGAUCAAGUGGCGCCCAGUGUGGGGGCUCCUGGCACGGAGGAGUCAACAAGGGAGCCGCGAGAUAGCCAGCUGAAAGUGAAAGCAAAUUGAACCAAAGACCAUGGUGAGGAGUGAGCAAACUAAAUCAAGGAUUAAAGCUAAAAGCAAAAGGACAUUAAAUCAAGUACCGAGGCCUGCACGGACAACUACCCAACGUCCUGCCUGAGUCACAUGACACAACCCCCUGGAGCCUUAUGCUGCCUACUCAGCCUUUUCCUUGAGCCGUACCACACCCAUGGUGGAUUUAGACCCUUCCCCCUGUGACUGCGGAAGAGGCUCUUCUUGGUCUGGAGGAACAUAAACCAGCCAAAUAGACUGCGUCCGGUGUUAUGCGAGGCAAGCUCCAAGACAUAGCAGAACAACUUCAACAGAGACACAACAAAAGGCUGCCAACCCCUUCUCCUUGAUAUGUGUGUGGUGGGGGGAGCUUUUCCCUUACCUAGCGCCCUGUUUGGGUCCACUAGCUGCCCUAUUGCUUCUCCUUUCUGUGAGUCCUUGUAUUUUUCAGAGGAUUAUGAUGUUCAUUAAUAACCAGAUAGACGCGUUUAUGGCAAAGCCCAUUCAGGUACACUAUCAUCAGCUGGAGAUGGCAGAUCAACAAACCUACCGGGAAGGAAUUCCCAUGAGUGGCCCAUAUGAUGAUGCAGCCUAACUGCCCUGGGGCAAUGGACAGGCAGUGAGAGACGGGCAACUAGGACAUGCAUGUUAAUUCCAACGGCCACCUAAGACAGGCACAGGACCAACUGCUGUUCUGCAAGCCCAUGACGGGUAAGGCCUGGUUGGGUUCAUGCAAUGAGGUCCUUGACCUAAGACAGAUGCUGUCUGGCAGGGCCUGCUAUACUCCUGAUUAAAUAAUAGAGAAAGGGAGGAGAUGUAGGGAGCCGAGCAACAGCCCCAUUGCUGCCUCCCUGCCUCUCUCUCUCCUAUGGGCACUGCAUCUGCCUACAUUAACCAUAAUCCUCUCCUGCUUACAUCACAUACCCGGACGUGACGAUGACCCUGUUGUAUUCACCUCUGUAGCCUCUUUCUGUCCCACCUCCCACCCUUGGCCUAUAAAAGAUGUAAUCACUUCCGGAAUAAACAGGGGGCUUGAUCAGA